rnacentral:lncRNA from 1 species
AUGGAUACACCUACUGAAACGUUUCAUUUAAGGAAGAGAAGCCUUUGCUUUCAUCGAAACAUUUAUGAUACGCAUGCACUCAAUGAAAAUUCCUGUUUCCUUAAUGCUAGUAGAAAGUCCAAGGUUGCAUAUAUCAGGGAUUUAAGUAGACAUUUACCACAAUUAACUAUGAUGGCAUCUAAAUCCUGGAAUAUAUAUCAAAAGCUGAUGCUAGAUUAUAAGUCAUUUUUCUGAAUGUAUAGAUGCAUGGCCAUGGCUGAAACCUGAUUCUCCUUGUAAAAUGAUAAACAGUAAAAACAUAUGUGACAUGAGAAAUGAAAAUUACCUGCAACAAUUGGAUGCAAAAGAUAUUUUUUUUCCAAUCCAAAAGAGUAUUCUUGUUGUUUUCUGAGAAAAAUUUUCCUCUAAUUCACAUGCAUCACUGCUUCAAAAUCUGUCGCUUUCUCACAUAGGGAAUCAGUCUCAUCAUCAUCACGUGAAAGUAUGCAUGGACAUACCUUCAAGGACCAAUUGCAACUGGCUCAAAAUAUCCAUGCUUUUUGUUCUAUAUAAAGGGUGAGCUCAGCUUGCAACAUUAUUUUCACCCCUCAAAAACCAGUGCCAUAAACAUGUUUAUCCCAAUCUUUUUCAUUUUAUCUUUCCUAUUUUCCUCCACCAACGCAGCCGACUUCUGUGUUGGGGACUUGAAUGGCCCUGUAGGCCCUGCAGGCUAUUCUUGCAAGAAGACAGUCACCGUAAAUGACUUCGUUUACUCCGGCCUCGCUGCCACAGGCAACACUUCGAACCUCAUAAAAGCUGCAGUAACACCAGCCUUUUCGGCUCAAUUCCGGGUGUUAACGGACUCGGCAUUUCAAUAGCUCGUUUGGAUUUAGCUGUUGGUGGAGUGAUACCUAUGCAUACUGUUGGAAUAUUUUCAAAUAUUUAUUAGUAUCCCAAUAACUAUAAAUGAAUGGAACUAUAAAUGAAGGGGUGUAAUUAAUCAAAAGAUAAAACUUUUGGUCAUUGGUCAAAAGUUAUAUCAUUUGAUUUUUUUAAAAAAAGACUUAUAACUAUUCAAAAAAUAUUAUUUGAAUAGUUACAAAAUUAAAUGAAUAAUUAUUAUUAUUUAUUUAUUUAUAAAGACACCUAUUGAAAGAUGUCUCUAUGAAGAGACAUUGAAAAUUCCUAUAAAUAGGAAUGGAUUUCAUUGGAAAUCAUAUCAACAAAUUCUAAUAUUAUUUCUUCUCUUCCUUCAUUUUCUAAUAUUAUUAGAUUAUUCUAUAAAGUAUUGCUGCCAGAAAUCCUUUGUAGAAAUUGAGUUUUUGUUAUACAUUACUCAGUGCAUAGUGGACUAUUCUCGUCAGUGCAAAACGCAAAUAGUCAUUGGCUUCAUUGUAUCCUCGAGGUUAAUUUGCUUGGAACUCGUUUGCACACUGAAGAUAAGUGGGGGCGAAUAUAACCUUAAAGAUAGUGGCUUGAUACACGCCUUGGAACCUGUCCUAUUUCUUCUUUUUCUUUUCGAGUUCCGAUCGUGUGUUCGAGUUUUUUCCUUACCGGAGUUUUGUACUAACAAUUUUAAGGUUAUAUUUCAUGAUGACUACCACAACACAUGAAGUGGAACACUAAGGGAGUUGGCUUCCAACUUUGUUAAACUUGAUCGUUUUGAUGGUGGCAAUUUUCGACGAUGGCAGAAAAAGAUGCACUUUUUGUUAUCAACUUUGAAGAUUGCUUAUGUUUUGGAUACUCCAAGACCUGAAGAGAAUGAAAACGAAUCUAUUGCUUGCAAACCCGAGAAAGACAAAAAUGGGACAAUGCUGAUUACAUGUGCAUGGGCCACAUAUUGAAUGGUUUAUCUGAUGGUUUAUUCGACACCUACCAAAAUGACGUCACCGCUAAAGAAUUAUGGGACAAAUGGAGCAAGAUACAUGACCGAAGAUGUUACAAGUAAGAAAUUUCUUGUUAGCCGUUUCAAUAAUUAUCAAAUGGUUGAUGGUCGUUCUGUUAUGGAACAAUUUCGUGAUAUUGAAAAGAUGCUGAAUCAAUUUAAGCAAUAUGAUAUGAAAAUGGAUGAAAUGAUUGUGGUAUCCUCUAUAAUAGACAAACUUCCUCCAUCUUGGAAAGACUUUUAAAAGAGUCUAAAACAUAAGAAAGAGGAAAUAUCUCUUGAGGCUUUGGCAAAUCAUCUUCGUAUUGAAGAAGAGUAUUCGAAAACAAGAUCAGAACCUAAAUUCUGAAAUGCCAAAGUACAUGUUACGGAGGAAGUACAGACUACUAAACCAUUCAAAAGAAAGUUCAAUCAGGCUGAUAGACACCUAAGUUCAAAAAGAAACAAAGGGCUCAUGCUAUCAUUGUGGAAAGCCGGGACAUUUCAAGAAUGAAUGUCGAUUUUUUAAAGAAGAAAUCAUCUUCUAAGGCUGAUAAUAACGAAAAGUUCGUUGCAAUGAUAUCUGAAAUUAAUAUGGCACAAGAUGAUAAUACAUGGUGGAUUGAUACCGGAGCACCAAACAUGUGUGCAAAGACAAAAACAUGUUCACAAAGUUCACACAAUGUGAAAAUGACAAUGUCUUGUACAUGAGAAAUUCUUCCACCGCAACAAUAAAGGCAAAGGGUCUGUUGAACUACAAUUCACUUCUGAAAGGUUUUAACCUUAAAUGAUGUAUAUUAUGUACCAGAAGUUAGGAAAAAUUUAGUGUCUGGAAGUCUGUUGAAUAAGUUUGGUUUCAACUUGUUUUUGAGGCAGAUAAGUUUAUUUUGUCUAAGGGAGGAAUUUUUGUGGGAAAAGGGUAUAUGUAUGAAAGCAUGUUCAAACUUAAUAUUAUUAAUAAGAAUAAAAAUACUAUUUCUGCUUAUAUGGUUGAAUCAUUUGUUUGUGGCCUUAUAGAUUAGGUCAUUUGAAUUAUAGAAAAUGAAUGACAUGUAUAAAUUAGAUUUAAUUCCUGUUUUUAAUAAUAUAUUGAAAAAUGCAAUACCUGUAUGUUGACUAAAAUUACAAGAAAUCCUUUCCCUAAGGUUAAAAGGAAAACAAAAUUGCUUUGAUUUGAUACAUAGUGAUUUAUGUGACUUGCAUAAUACUCCUACAUUAGGUGGAAAGAAAUAUUUUGUUACUUUUAUUGAUGAUUGUUCUAGAUAUUGUUAUGUAUAUUUAUUGCAUUCAAAAGAUGAAGCGCUUGAUAAAUUUAAAGUUAUAAAUCUGAAGUUGAACUUCAGUGUGAAUCAUUUAUCAAGUGCUUAAGAUCGGAUAGAGGUGGAGAAUACUAUAAUCCAAGUUAUUUUGAACUCACUGGAAUUGUCCAUCAAGUUUCAGCCCCUUACACACCACAACAAAAUGGUGUAGCUGAAAGGAAAAUAGAGUCUUGAUUGAAAUGGUAAAUUCAAUGUUAUCAUAUUCAGGUCUUGGACAGGGUUUUUGGGGAGAAGCUGUUCUAACAGCUUGUAUAUAUUGAAUAGAGUUCCUAAUAAGGAAACUAAAAUAACCCCCUAUGAACAAUGGAAGAAAAGGAAACCAAACCUUAAUUAUUUAAAGGUUUGGGGUUGUUAGAGCUAUUGUAAAAGUUCCAACACCUAAACGUAAAAAGUUAGGUGAAAGAGGAAUUGAAUGCAUAUUUAUAGGUUAUGCACAUAAUAGCAAGGCAUAUAGGUUCAUAGUAAUUGAACCAAAUGAUUCAAUUUCAAUUAAUACGGUUAUUGAAUCAAGAGAUGCUAUUUUUGAUGAAAAUAGAUUUAAUUCUAUAUCAAGACAAUUACAACCACAACAAUUGAUUCAUUCUUCAAAUGAGAAUGAGAUUCCAUUGAAACAAAUUGAUAAUAAUGAUGAAUCUUGUCAAGAAUUAAGAAGAAGUAAGAGGAUUAAAAAGGUCAAAGAUUUUGGACCAGAUUUCAUUAUGUUUCUUGUAGAAGGAAAAGGUGAAAGUAUAUGCAAUAAGAUACCUUAUUGUUAUAAUACCGAAUCUGAUCCUAUUACAUUUGAAGAAGCAGUGAAAUCUCAAGACUCUGCUUUUUGGAAAAGAAGCAAUAAAUGAUGAAAUGGAUUCAAUAAUGGGAAAUCAAACUUGGAUCUUAGUUGAUCUUCCACCAGGUUCCAAACCAAUAGGUUGUAAAUGGAUCUUCAAAAAGAAAAUGAAGGUCGAUGGAACCAUUGAUAAAUUUUAAGCAAGGUUGGUAGCAAAAGGUUUUACACAAAGACAAGGUAUUGAUUACUUUGAUACCUAUGCUCCAGUAGCAAGAAUUGCUACAAUUAGACUAUUAAUAUCACUACCUCUAUAUAUAAUUUGGUUGUUCACCAAUGGAUGUUAAAACUACAUUUUUAAAAUGGUGAAUUGGAAGAGGAAGUGUACAUGGAGCAACCGGAAGGAUUUGUUGUUCCAGGACAAGAGCAUAAGGUAUGUAAGCUUGUUAAAUCUUUAUAUGGGCCUUAAACAAGCACCCAAAACAAUGGCACCAAAAGUUUGACAAGGUUGUUUUAGCUAAUGGCUAUAAAAUAAAUGAAUCCGAUAAGUGCAUAUAUAGUAAAUUUGAUAAUGGAAAGGGUGUUAUAAUUUGCUUAUAUGUAGAUGACAUGCUCAUUUUUGGCACGGAUUUGGAACAAAUAGAAAACACAAAGAAAUUCUUGUCAAACAACUUUGCUAUGAAGGAUAUGGAUGUAGCAGAUGUUAUUCUUGGGAUUAAAAUAACCCGAGAUGAAAGCACUAUAGCUUUAUCACAAUCACAUUACAUUGAAAAUGUGCUUAAGAAGUUUGAUCUUUUCAACUGUAUACCAGCAUCUACACCCAUGGAUCCUCAAUUAAAAUUAGUAUCUAAUGCUGGUAGGAAAAUUGAUCAAUUGAAAUAUGCAAGUCUAAUUGGUUGUUCUUAUGUACAUAAUGACUUGUACAAGACCAGAUAUUGCAUAUGCUAUUGGAAAAUUGAGUAGAUACACAAGUAAUCCAAGUAGUUUGCAUUGGCAAGCUUUAAAUAGAGUACUUAGGUACUUAAAGAAAACUAUUAACUAUGGAUUGUGUUAUAAUGGAUAUCCUCCAGUUUUAGAAGGGUAUUCGAGUGCUAGUUGGAUUACAAGCUUGGAAGAUCAUGCAUCUACUAGUGGGUGGAUCUUCAUUCUUGGUGGAGGAGUCAUUUCUUGGGGUUCCAAGAAACAAACAUGUAUUACCGAUUCCACCAUGGCAGCAGAAUUUAUUGCAUUAGCCGCUGCAUCUAAAGAAGCAGAAUGGUUAAGAAAUUGCUUUAUGAUGUACCUUUAUGGCUUAAGCCAAUUUCACCUAUUUUUAUCCGUUGUGAUAGUGAGUCUACUCUAGCAAAGGCAUAUAGCCAAGUAUAUAAUGGAAAGUCUAGACACAUGGGAUUAAGACAUAGUUAUGUCCGACAAUUAAUCUCUGAUGGAGUGAUCACUAUUAAUUAUGUGAGGUCAAGUGAAAUUUGGCAGAUCCUUUGACAAAAAGUCUUGCUAGAGAUGUCGUAAAAAGGACCUCAAAAGGGAUGGGACUCAAGCCUAUUAAUUAGAGUCACCCAUGCUGGAAACCGACUCAAACGCUGGUAUACCGUCAAGUCUUGAGUUCAAUGAGACAAAGUACAUCAUUAGUAUGUGACUGUUAGCACUAUAAAUAAAUCCAUCCUAGAUUAAAGUGCUAGGUACCCGUAAUGAUAAGGGAAGGAUGAGUAAUGUACUCUUAAUGGACCCAUAACAUAAUAUGUUAGAGUGUUUAUAAUUACGGGAACACUUUUGAUGGGAUCUACCUAUGUGAGUGGAAGUGUGGCCGCUUCUAGGAGCUUAAGGGCUUGGCUCUAACAGCACUCAUGAAAAGAGGACAUAGACACAUGGCUAUAAUAGUAUCCCUAGAUACUAUGCAUUGACUGAUGUUGAAAUCAUUGUGUGAGAUGUGUUCAGUUAAUCAAAUGGAAUAGUUGGUUCAAAGCUUAGUCUACCAUACAAUUUCGAUUAACUUUAACAUGUUUUCACUAAGUGAAGGUUCAAUCGUAAGACACCUUUAUUUAUGCAAAUUGAUUUCCAAGAAUAUCAAAAUCUAAUAUUUUGAAAAUGGGGGAGAUUGUUGGAAUAUUUUCAAAUAUUUAUAGUAUCCCAAUAACUAUAAAUGAAUGGGUGUAAUUAAUCCAAAAGAUAAAACUUUUGGUCAUUGGUCAAAAGUUAUAUCAUUUGAUUUUUAAAAAAAAAGAAUUAUAAACUAUUCAAAAAAUAUUAUUUGAAUAGUUACAAAAUUAAAUGAAUAAUUGUUAUUAUUUAUUUAUUCAUAAAGACACCUAUUGAAAGAUGUCUCUAUGAAGAGACAUGAAAAUUCCUAUAAAUAGGAAUGGGAUUUCAUUUGGAAAUCAUAUCAACAAAUUCUAAUAUUAUUUCUUCUCUUCCUUCAUUUUCUAAUAUUAUUAGAUUAUUCUAUAAAGUAUUGCUGCAGAAAUCCUUUGUAGAAAUUGAGUUUUUUGUUAUACAUUACUCAGUGCAUAGUGGACUAUUCUCGUCAGUGCAAAACGCAAAUAGUCAUUGGCUUCAUUGUAUCCUCGAGGUUAAUUUGCUUGGAACUCGUUUGCACACUGAAGAUAAGUGGGGGCGAAUAUAACCUUAAAGAUAGUGGCUUGAUACACGCCUUGGAGCCUGUCCUAUUUCUUCUUUUUCUUUUCGAGUUCCGAUCGUGUGUUCGAGUUUUUUCCUUACCGGAGUUUUGUAUUAACAAUACACCCUGGGGCUUCUGAAGUCCUUGUUGUUAUUCAAGGCACAAUUUGUGCUGGUUUCAUAUCCUCAGCUAACAAAGUUUACUUCAAAUCUCUGAAUAAAGGAGAUAUUAUGGUAUUCCCACAAGGUUUAUUACAUUUCCAAAUCAAUGCAGGCAAAACUCAAUCCUUGGCAUUUGUAUCCUUCAGCAGUCCAGACCCUGGUCUCCAAAUCCUCGACUUUGCCUUGUUUGCAAAUGACUUGCCGACUGACAUUAUUGAAGAAACCACUUUUCUGGAUGCUGCUCAGAUUAAGAAGCUGAAGGGUGUUCUUGGAGGAACUGGUUAAUAUUAUUUGAACUUGUUGAGAGUCCCUUUUUUUUUCUUUUUUUUUUUGUAUGCUUUCACGUUUGCUUGUGUCUUCUUGUCAGUGGUAGUUUGUUUGAAAUUACUAGCAAAAGAGUGAGUCUCUGUUGUGUUUCUUUGUGUUCCUUCUUCAGGUUCUAUUGUGAACCAAAAAUGUAAUAAAAAAGACCAUCCCUUUCUCGAUCUGAAAAGGUUUAAAUAAAUGCAAUUAUGUUGUUUAUCUUUCUCCCUUAAAAUGGGAAAUAGCCAACUUCAUUAAUCUCCAAAGAUGAUGGUGAGUAGCUGCAAUUGUUUGGUGGGGAAUACUGCACUGACAGAAUUUUUGGGAUGACCAUAUACCCCCUUCUCCAUUAAGAAAGAAUAUUUUAUUCCAACCCGGAUUUAAGAUAUUUAAAAAUAUUUAGAUAAAAUUAUGAGAGAAUAUAUAUUUUGGUUGGGAGUUGGUCACUACUAAAAUUGAUUACUUUCGUAAACCUUAUCAAGUAGUAGUACAAUAUAUGGUCCAAAUUCUUUUGAAAUUUAUACUGAUCAGCAAUCACUGAAUCAGAUAUGUUUUGGAGUGUAUGGCAAAACUCCCCUUGAUGCUAAACAAGUGAAAAGAGGGUUUAAUAUUAGGAUCAAUUGCACCGUACAUCAUUGGAUUUAGAUUGUAAAUUGAUCAAAAUUUUUAAAAUACUAUCAAUAUCAUAUUAAUUAAGGGUCUGUUUGAUUGAAGAAAUUGAUUUUCCGGAAAAUCAUUUCCAACUUUUCCAGCGUUUGAUUGGCGAAAAACAUUUUCCAUUUGGAAAAUGAACUCCAAAACAAGGAAAAAUGGGUUACAUUUUAGGGAAAAUGUCUUACCCUUUCAAUUUCCGUAAAACAUUUUCCGUGCUCUCCUCUCUAUCGCCUCCUUCAUUCCUUCCUCAUUUUCGGUAGAAAAUUGCUUCUAUUUAUCGAUUUUCCAGUAACUUGUUUUUUUAAUUAUUCAAUACUUGUUUUUUUAACACAAUUACAAAUAAUUUAUUUGAUAUUAAUUUUUUUCAAUUUAUAACGAUUAAUAUUGUGGCUUAAUAAUUGAGUAUUAUUAUAAAUAAAUCAUUGCAAUAUAUGUAAAAAUAAUUUAAAAUAUAAAAAUUUAUUAAUAUAUAUCAAUACAUGUAAAAAAAAAUUUCGAAAAAUAUUUCCAGGAAAUCUGCCAAACAGCCGAAAAUAUUUUACACAGAUUCAAUCAAACACCAGAAAAUAUUUUCUAGUAAAUCAUUUUACAGAAAAGUAAAAUAUUUUUCCGAAAUCAUUUUACGGAAAAUAUUUUACUGGCAAUCAAACAGACCCUAAAAGUUAGUUAAAUAUGAGCUCAAUUCAACAUAUUUUUAUAAUAAUAAAAAAGUCCAAUUACAGAUACAUAUGUAUUUAUUAUAUAAACAACUUUACACCCAUUGUGUUAAGAGGGAAGAGACUGUCUUCCUAAAUUUUAAUGGCAUUGUUGCUUUUUUGGCUCAUCAUAUUCAAAACAUCUUAUAUAUAUACUUUUUAAUUUAUAUUAUAAAAGUUAUUUACAUCGUAUCUGGAUUGAUAUUAUUGAAUAACUUAACAAUUAAUAAAAUAUUAAUAUUUUGAGAAUUUAAUUGACAUAUUUUAAAAUUUAGGAACUAAUUUCAAAUUUGAGCAACAAUUUAGGGUUUCUAACUCCAUUUUUAAAAAAAAAAAAGCCCGAUUUCUGCUGCUCGUAGAAGAAAGUAUUUUAGUUAAUAGUAUUUUACAAUAAAGCAUUCUCACCGUUGUCUCAAAGCAAACAAAGAGACGAAAAGAGUAGUACAUCAGUAAUUACUUCUAAAUGGCAUGUCCAUGGUAUACCUACCACUUCAAACCACAAGCAUUAGAUCAAAGCAGAACACAAGUGAUCAUCUCAAUGACUAAAACUACAAGCCUUUUGGCCAGUUCUGUAAUUCUAAAAGCGAAACUGUGGUUAAUUUCAACGCAGUUUGUUGCCUUCAUUACCACUGUGAACAGCCAAACCGGCCAUGUUAGCAACAAACUGUAGAUCGGACAAGGAAUAAGACCGGCAAGGAAGGUUGGUCGAGCAGUUAAUGAUGAUGAUGAUGAUGGGAGUUGAUUUUUUACACUGUGGAUGCAGAGGUGGAAGGCAGUUAGACGGCGAUGAUGCCAUUGAUAUUUUUAGUUCCAAUGUUUCCCAAAAGAUUAUUGGGUUUCUUGUCCAAUGAAGAACUGCGAGCUAAUAAGUUCUUGCGUUUCCUAUUGUAGGGAUCUUCAGGCUUGGCAAAAUCUUUAACAGAGGAAACAGCAGCCGCAUCGGCUAAACUUGUAAAGGACUUUGAUUUGCCACCAUAAAACUUGGAUAUGCCUUUUCUGUAAUCAAACAAAACCCGCAAAGAAAAACAGAUUGAAGAACCCAUAAGAAUAACUAUGCAAGAUCUUAUUAAAAGACACCAUUUUCUUGUUCUUCAAGCAAUGGUUAGUAGGAGUAACUAGUAUCAAACCCACAUUUCACUAUUUUUUUUUAAAUUAUAAUAAUAGGGUAAAGCCCAAACAACAAACGCCAAUAACCAUCGAGCCGUCACAUGGAGUUCACAUUUCACUACUUUAAUACGCUUUAAAUAAUACAUGUCCUUAUAUUAAAAGUUAAAGCCACUUCAUCUUUUUGGAAAGAAAUUGCCAAACAAAACCCUCGCUAUUUUUUUAGAUUUACACGUAAAGAGAAAACAAGCCAAAUAUUUUAAUUUUUAUAUUUUGAAUGUUAAAAAUGGUUUACCUCAGAGCAUCCAUUGUAUCCAAAGGUCCUUUGUACUUCAGGUGCUAUCUAAAGAUAUUGGACAAUUAAGAUGAUUGUCAACUGUUUCCAUAAAUUCAAAUAAUUAGGAGAAAUCAACAUUGAAAUAAGUAGUUAUAAUUAUUGACAACUGUUUCCAUAAAUUCAAUUCAGUAAUAGUUAUAUUAAAUGGACAAUUAAGAUUGAAAUAAAUAGUUAUAUUUAUUGUCAACUGUUUCCGUAACUUCAAUUCAUUAGGAGAAAACAAUUAAUAAAUUAUAUUAUAUUAAAAUUAGAUUUACUUUAGAGAAGUAUAAAUGUAAAAAUACAAUAUAAAAAAUGUUUUAGAAUUAAAAUACUAUAUUAAGUUCAAAAUGAUAUUUAUUUGUAAAAAUUAAUGAUAACUUUUACAAUAUAUGAAAUUUACCAGGAUGCAAAAGAUGUUUUUUUUCCAACCCAAAGAGUAUUCUUCUUGUUUUCUGAGAAAAAUUUCCCCCUAAUUCACAUUAUAGGGAAUCAGUCUCAUCAUCAUCACGUGAAAGUAUGCAUGGACAUACCUUCAAGGUUUAAAUGGCUCAAAAGAUCCAUGCUUUUCGCUCUAUAUAAAGGGUGACCUCAGCUUGCAACAUCAUUUUCACCCCUCAAAAACCAGUGCCAUAAACAUGUUUCUCCCAAUCUUUUUCAUUUUCUCUUUCCUAUUUUCCUCCACCAACGCAGCCGACUUCUGUGUUGGGGGCUUGAAUGGCCCUGUAGGCCCUGCAGGCUAUUCUUGCAAGAAGACAGCCACCGAAGAUGACUUCUCUUUCUCCGGCCUCCGUACCGCAGGCAACACUUCGAACCUCGUAAAAGCUGCAAUAACACCAGCCUUUUCGACUCAAUUCCCGGGUGUUAACGGACUCGGCAUUUCAAUAGCUCGUUUGGAUUUAGCUGUUGGUGGAGUGAUACCUAUGCAUACACAACCUAGGGCUUCUGAACUCAUUCUUGUUAUGGAUGGCACACUUUUUGCUGGUUUCAUAUCCUCAGAUAACAAAGUUUACUCCAAAUCUCUGAAUGAAGGAGACAUUAUGAUUUUCCCACAAGGUUUAUUACAUUUCCAAAUCAAUACAGGCAAAACUCAAUCCGUGGCAUUUGUAUCCUUCAACAGUGCAGACCCUGGUGUCCAAAUCCUGGACUUUGCCUUGUUUACAAAUGACUUGCCGACUGACAUUAUUGAAGGAACCACUUUUCUGGAUGCUGCUCAGAUUAAGAAGCUGAAG